GCCAAUGCCAUAUACUGAUGGUCUUGCUUCCAUUAUAACUGCAUCGAUGUGUCGGGCCCAGGUGAGAUCCUCGGAGAUAUUGACACCCGGGAACUUGAAAUUGCUCAGUCUCUCCACUUUCCGUCCUGUGAUGAGGACUGGGUGUGAGGUCCCUCGUCUUACCCUUUCUGACGUCCACAAUCAAUUCUUGGGUCUUACUGAUGUUGAGUGCAAGGUUGUUGCUGCGACACCACUCCCUGUUCAUCAUCUACAUUGGUUCUUGUGAAUGCAAUCAAAGCUCACUUCUAAUGUGCUCAUUGGCUGCCCCUCCAGCCAACAGUUGUUUGUGGAGUCUUGCUGUGCACAACUCCAGAGACUCUACUGCCAUGGUUAGUGGACCACGGGGCCCUUUGAGAUGUCAUGUUGGGAGGGGGGAGGUUUAAAGGGACGAAGUUUUGCGAGGUACAGAUCGAUAUCACUCAGAACCAGAUUUAUAGUCUUAAAAAUCUCUGAUUGCGCCGCGGAAGUGGGGUUCUGAAGAACAGUCUCAGUCCAAAAGGUUGACUGUGUAUUCCUCUCCAUAGAUGCUACCUGACCCACUGUGUGUGUGUGUGUGUGUGUGUGUGUGUGUGUGUGUGUGUGUGUGUGUGUGUGAGAGAGAGAGAGAGAGAGAGAGAGACAGAGAGGAAGAAGUCUGUAGUCUUGACGCGACAGGCCAUUUGGCCCAUCAACUCUGCUCCACCAUUCCAUCAUGGUCGAUUUAUUUUCCCUCUUCUGCAUUCUCAAAACCUCUGACACCCUUAUUACUCAAGAACCUAUCAACUUCUACUUUAAAUCUACUUGGCCUCCACAGACGUCUGUGGCAACGAAUUCCACAGAUUCACCACCCUACUGGCUGAAGAAAUAUCUCCCCAUCUCUGUUCUAAAGGAACGUCCUUUUAUUCUGAGUUUGUGCCCCCUGGUCCUAGACUCCCCCACUAAAGGAUACAACCUCUCCAGGUCCACCCUAUAUCCAUACAUUUCAAUACUGGACUGGUUUCAAGGGGGUCCUGCCCCCAAGCUCCAGCAAAUACAGAUCCGGGGCCAUUAGAUGCUCCUCAGACUGUAAUCUUUUUGUUCCGGGGGCCACCGUUCUUUUUUUUUAAUUUUUAUUUUUAUUGAAGGAAUGACACAAUACAGAAUACAUAAUGGAUUACUCUUCCCUCCAUUUUGCUUUUAUAUCUUACCCCUAAACAAACCUCCCUUCUCCCUCCCUCCCCAAAUGUACCACGGCAGCUAAUGUAUUUACAACAAUUCACGAAUAAAUUUCACAUUCAAACCCCCACACUUCUUCAAGAUGAAGGCCCACACACAUCCACAACAUGUCAGAUGAUCCAUAUUACAAUUCAUCAGCCACCCUGUGGGGUAAACCAGAUGCGUGUUAAAAGAGAGGCAACUUCCCAAAUACAAUCAGAUGCCCUCAACUAGUGGGUAAUUCCUUAAGACUCCCAAAUUAUGACAAGAAAGGUCCCCAUUUCAAAUAGAACUUUUUUCACAGACCCCCUCAGAGUGAAUUUAAUCUUUUCUAAUUUCAGAAAAAAACAUUACGUCCUCUAACCAAGCAGCAGCAGAUGGGGGAGUGGCAGAUUUCCAGACCAGCAAGAUUCUCCUACAGGCCAAAAGUGAUGUAAAUGCAACGAUAUCCGACUGGUUUGCAUUUAACCCCAAAGCAUCAUCCGCCACACCAAAUACAGCGAUGCGGGCAAGGUCUCAGUGUCACCCCCAAAACCUCACCGAUAAUUUUAAAAACCAGUGCCCAAUAGCCAUCAAGCCAAGGGCAAGACCAAAAUGCAUGCACUAAACCAGCGGGAGAGAAGGAACACCUGUCACAGCCAGCGUCUGUCCCGGGAUAUACGUCAGCAAGCCUGGCUUUACUUAAAUGUACCCUGUGUAAAACUUUAAAUUGUAUGAGCCCCAGUCUAGUACGAUGACGAGGAAUGAACCCUAUUCAAUGUUUUUGCCCAAUAUUCCUCAGCCAGAUCCACACCAAGGUCAUCCUCCCAGCUAGUUGUAGUUUUGUUUAGAUCUUGAACUCCCAAAGACAUAGAACCAUAGAACAUUACAGUACAGAAACAGGCCCUUCAGCCCUUCUUGACUGUGCCAAACCAUUUUUCUGCCUAGUCCCACUGACCUGCACCUGGACCAUAUCCCUCCAUACCCCUCUCAUCCAUGUACCUGUCCAAGUUUUUCUUAAAUGUUAAAAGUGAGCCUGUAUUUACCACUUCAUCCGGCAGCUCAUUCCACACUCCCACCCCUCUCUGUGUGAAGAAGCCCCCACUAAUGUUCCCUUUAAAGUUUUACCCCUUCACCCUUAACCCAUGUCCUCUGGUUUUUUUUCUCCCCUGGCCUCAGUGGAAAAAGCCUGCUUGCAUUCACUCUAUCUAUACCCAUCAUAAUUUUAUAUACCUCUGUCAAGUCUCCCCUCAUUCUUCUACGCUCCAGUGAAUAAAGUCCUAACCUAUUCAAUCUUUCUCUGUACCUCAGUUUCUCAAGUCCCGGCAACAUCCUUGUAAACCUUCUCUGCACUCUUUCAGCCUUAUUAAUAUCAUUCCUGUAAUUCAGUGACCAAAACUGCACACAAUACUCCAAAUUCGGCCUCACCAAUGCCUUAUACAACCUCACCAUAACAUUCCAACUCUUACACUCAAUACUUUGAUUUAUAAAGGCCAAUGUACCAAAAGCUCUCUUUACUACCCUAUCUGCCUGAGACACCACUUUUAGGGAAUUUUGUAUCUGUAUUCCUAGAUCCCUCUGUUCUACUGCACUCCUCAGUGCCCUACCAUUUACCUUGUAUGUUCUACCUUGGUUUUACCUUCCAAAGUGCACACUUGAAUGAAUUAAACUCCAUCUGCCAUUUUUCCAUCUGGUCCAAAUCCCUCUGCAAGCUGAGAGUAUAGUACAGAGAUCAGCCCUUUAUUAUUAAAGCUAAGAGUGAGUUUUUCCCACAACAUAGCAGGUGGUAGAUCAGGAAAAGAGAGAAAUUUUUCCCUGACAGAGUGGCGAAUCUGCAGAUAUUUAUAAAAAUGAUUAUAAAUAUAAAUAUAUUUAUUUAUAUAUUUACAGUGCAGGUUAUCAAAACUAUCAAAUAUAUUACCAGUGUACAAAUCCUAAACGCACGUAAGACCGUUCAAACCCCUGACAGACCUGACACCUGACCAGGUUCAUUUCCCAAUACCAGAUCAAGUACAGCCUCUCCUCUUGUAGGCUUACUCUACAUAUUGUGUCAAGAAACCUUCCAGAACACACCUAACAAACUCCACCCCAUCUAAACCCCUCACUCUAGGGAGAUGCCAAUCGAUAUUCAGUGCUGGAUGGGAGAUGCCAGAGAGUAGUGGUGGAUAACUGUUUGUCAGGUUGGAGGCCGGUGACUAGCGGGGUGCCUCAGGGAUCUGUACUGGAUCCAAUGUUGUUUGUCAUAUACAUUAAUGAUCUGGAUAAUGGGGUGGUAAAUAGGAUUAGUAAGUAUGCAGAUGAUACUAAGGUAGGUGGCAUUGUGGAUAAUGAAGUAGGUUUUCAAAGCUCGCAGAGAGAUUUAGGCCAGUUAGAGUGGGCUGAACAAAGGCAGAUGGAGUUUAAUGCUGAUAAGUGUGAGGUGCUACAUUUUGGUAGGAAUAAUCAAAAUAGGACAUACAUGGCAAAUGUUAGGGCAUUGAAGAAUGCAGUAGAACAGAGUGAUCUAGGAAUAAUGGUGCAUAGUUCCCAGAAGGUGGAAUCUCAUGUGGAUAGGGUGGUGAAGAAAGCUUUUGGUAUGCUGGCCUUUAUAAAUCAGAGCAUUGAGUAUAGGAGUUGGGAUGUAAUGUUCAAAUUGUACAAGGCAUUGGUAAGGCCGAAUUUGGAGUAUUGUGUACAGUUCUGGUCACCGAAUUAUAGGAAAGAUGUCAACAAAAUAGAGAGAGUACAGAGAAGAUUUACUAGAAUGUUACCUGGGUUUCAGCACCUAACUUACAGGGAAAGGUUGAACAAGUUAGGUCUUUAUUCUUUGGAGUGUAGAAGGUUGAGGGGGGACUUGAUAGAGGUAUUUAAAAUUAUGAGGGGGAUAGAUAGAGUUGACGUGGAUAGGCUUUUUCCAUUGAGAGUAGGGGAGAUUCAAACAAGAGGACAUGAGUUGAGAGUUAGGGGGCAAAAGUUUAAGGGUAACACGAGGGGGAAUUUCUUUACUCAGAGAGUGGUAGCUGUGUGGAACGAGCUUCCAGUAGAAGUGGUAGAGGUAGGUUCAGUAUUGUCAUUUAAAGUAAAAUUGGAUAGGUAUAUGGACAGGAAAGGAAUGGAGGGUUAUGGGCUGAGUGCAGGUUGGUGGGACUAGGUGAGAGUAAGCAUUCGGCACGGACUAGGAGGGCCGAGAUGUCCAGUUUCCGUGCUGUGAUUGUUAUACGGUUAGAUGAUAUUUGGGGAAAUUAAAAUCUCCCAACACGACAACCCUACUAUUAUUACAUCUUUCCAGGAUUUGUCUCCCUCCUUUUAGGUUAUCUGAGGUAACUUACUUUUUAUUCCUUCUUACUUCUAAUAUUUGUUUAUCUGUGCACUUGUAAUGUUACUGUGACACUGUGAUAUCCUUUGGGAUCAAUAAAGUAUCUAUCAAUUAAUCUAUAAUUAAGACAGAGAUUGAUAGAUUCUUGGUCAAUCAGGCUAUGAAGGGAUACAGGGAGAAGGCUGAGAGAGAAAAUUGGAUCAGCCAUGAUGAAAUGGCGGAGCAGACUCGAUGGGCCAAAUGGCCUAAUUCUGCUCCUAUACCUUAUGGUCUUAUCUAGUUUCCUCCCACAUAUCAAAAGUCAGAAUCAGAAUGGCUUAUUAUCACUGACAGACAUGAAAUUUGUCAUUCUGCAGCUGCAGAAUAGUGCAAUACAUAAAAUAUACCAUAAAUUACAAUAAGAAAUAUAUAUAUUUAAAAAUUAAGUCAUGCAAAAAGAGAGCAAAAGUAGUGAGGUGGUGUGCAUGGGCAAUGUUCCCUCUCACUUGUUUUAUGGCUGUGCGGACCAACCAUUGUUCUGAUAGGAAAUUUGUACACAGCCUGAAAACUGUGCGGCACUUUAAAUGUUUUUUGUUUAUAUGCAUACGAUGAAUAUUUAGAAUGUAACAUGAAAAGUAUCAAAUCAUACUUCUAAUUUCAUGUAUUAGUUGAAGGGUAUAAUAAACUAAAAGAAAAUCUUUCACUAGUGUAACGCCCGGGGAAAGGUUUCGCUGCUGAUGUAAUGGUGUUUCUGUAGCGGCAGUGUUUGGGUUAAGGCUGGAGAUUACGGGGGGCUGUGCAACGAGAGGAGUGUUUGUUCUUGUUGUGUGCCUGAGAAUGAGGUGAUCUGGGUCUUUCGUUCGGCGGAAAAUGAAGAGAGAAGAUGCCGGAAAGGAGUGGACUUGGACUGGGGCCGGGAGUCAACGAAGACUGGAGACUUCGAUGGAGGAUCGGGGAGAGGCCCACGGUGCACAGUAACAAAGGCUAUCCAUUCAGACCCCUGAUGACGGGUGGGAAGUAGCCACCCGUAAAAUGCUAUCUGGAGAAGAUGAGUUUCAGAGUUGUAUAUGGACACAUGCUUGGAUAAUAAAUGAAACUUUUGAACCUUUAGCAAUAAAUAUGAGAUAUAUCUCAUACACGAGAACAUGAGGUAUACCAAUAAAUAUGAGAACAUGAGAUAACGAGAUAAGGAGUCCUUAAAGUGAGAUCAUUGGUUGUGGGAACAUCUCAAUGGAUGCGCAAGUGAGUGUGGUUAUCCACUUUUGCUCAAGAGUCUGAUGGUUGAGGGUAGUAAAUGUUCUUGAACUAGUGGAGUGAGUCCUGAAGCUCUUGUACCUUCUGCCUGAUGGCAGCAGUGAGGAGAAACCAUGGCCUGGAUGGUGAGGAUCUCUGAUGAUGGAUGAUGCUUUCCUACGACAGUGUUUCCUGAAGAUGUGCUCAAAGUUUGGGCGGGCUUUGCCCAUGAUGGACUGGUCCGAAUCCACUAGUUUUUGUAGGAUUUUCUAUUCAAGGUUAUUGGUGUUUCCACACCAGGCUGUGACACAGCCAGUCAAUGCACUCUCCACCACACAACUAUAGAAGUUUGCCAAAGUUUUAGAUGUCAAGCUGGAUCUUCACAGACUACUGAGGAAGGAGUGUGGCUGCCCUGCUUUCUUCUUAAACCACUGAAGUGUUAAUAGCCAGACAAACCCUAUUUACAGACCACCCCUAACACAUUUUAACCCUAUCUAAAUUGUGAAGUUAUGCACAUACCAGUGUAGACACAACUGAAUCGGGUCUGGCAGGAUCAGUUUUAUAUAAGUCAUGAAAUUCAUUGAUUUUUAUUUUUUAUUUACAGUACUGUGCAAAAGUCUUAGGUACACAUGGUAGAGAAACAGAGAAAAAAUGGAUCAGCCAUGAUGAAAUGGCGGAGCAGACUCGAUGGGCCAAAUGGGAAGUUAUGGAAACUAUGAUGAUUAAAGAAGAGGAAGUACUGGCGCUUUUAAAGAAUAUAAAAGUGGAUAAGUCCCUAGGUCCUGACUGGAUUUUCCCCAGGACCUUGAGGGAAAUUAGUGUAGAAAUAGCAGGGGCUGUGACAGAAAUAUUUCAAAUGUCAUUAGAAACGGGGAUGGUGCCGGAGAAUUGGCGUAUUGCUCAUGUGGUUCCAUUGUUUAAAAAGGGUUCUAAGAGUAAACCUAGCAAUUAUCGGCCCGUCAGUUUGACAUCAGUGGUGAGUAAAUUAAUGGAAAGUAUUCUUAGAGAUGGUAUAUAUAAUUAUCUGGAUAGACACGGUCUGAUUAGGAGCAGUCAACAUGGAUUUGUGCGUGGAAGGUCAUGUUUGACAAAUCUUAUUGAAUUUUUUGAAGAGGUUACGAGGAAAGUUGACGAGGGUAAAGCAGUGGAUGUUGUCGAGAUGGACUUCAGUAAGGCCUUUGACAAGAUUCUGCAUGGAAGGUUAGUUAGGAAGGUUCAAUUGUUAGGUAUUAAUAUUGAAGUUGUGAAAUAGAUUCAACAGUGGCUGGUUAGGAGAUGCCAUAGAGUAGUGGUGGAUAACUGUUCGUCAGGUUGGAGGCCGGUGACUAGUGGUGUGCCUCAAGGAUCUGUACUGGGUCCAAUGCUGUUUGUCAUAUACAUUAAUGAUCUGGAUGAUGGGGUGGUAAAUUGGAUUAGUAAGUAUGCAGAUGAUACUAAGGUAGGAGGCGUUGUGGAUAAUGAAGCAGGUUUUCAAAGCUUGCAGAGAGAUUUAGGCCAGUUAGAAGGGUGGGUUGAGCAAUGGCAGAUGGAGUUUAAUGCUCAUAAGUGUGAGGUGCUACAUUUUGGUAGGAAUAAUCAAAAUAGGACAUACGUGGUAAAUGGUAGAGUAUUGAAGAAUGCAGUAGAACAGAGUGAUCUAGGAAUAAUGGUGCAUAGUUCCCUGAAGGUGGAAUCUCAUGUGGAUAGGGUGGUGAAGAAAGCUUUUGGUAUGCUGGUCUUUAUAAAUCAGAGCAUUGAGUUUAGGAGUUGGGAUGUAAUGUUAAAAUUGUACAAGGCAUUGGUGAGGCCAAAUUUGGAGUAUUGUGUACAGUUCUGGUCACCGACUUAUAGGAAAGAUGUCAACAAAAUAGAGAGAGUACAGAGAAGAUUUACUAGAAUGUUACCUGGGUUUCAGCACCUAACUUACAGGGAAAGGUUGAAAAAGUGAGGUCUUUAUUCUUUGGAGUGUAGAAGGUUGAGGGGGGAGUUAAUAGAGGUAUUUAAAAUUAUGAGGGGGAUAGGCUUUUCCAUUGAGAGUAGGGGAGAUUCAAACAAGAGGACAUGAGUUGAGAGUUAUGGGGUAAAAGAUUAGGGGUAACACGAGGGGAAACUUCUUUACUCAGAGAGUGGUAGCUAUGUGGAACGAGCUUCCAGUAGAAGUGGUAGAGGCAGGUUCGGUUUUGUCAUUUAAAGUAAAAUUGGAUAGGUAUACGAACAGGAAAGGAAUGGACGGCUAUGGGCUGAGUGCAGGUUGGUGGGACCAGGUGAGAGUAAGCGUUCGGCACGGUCUAGAAGGGCCAAGAUGUCCUGUUUCCGUGCUGUAAUUGUUAUAUGGUUAGAUGACCUGAUUUUGUUCCACCAUUUCAUCAUGUCUUAUGUUUGGCUCAGACACGGGCCUGUGCUGUGCUGUGUUAUUCUACAGUGCACGGGGUUUCCCUGACACCUCCCACAUCACUCAAGCGCACAAGCUGGUGUGAUGCUGUAAGCUGCCCCCUCGUGUGCUGGAGUAGAGCAGAAUUUGGGGGCAGUUGUGAUCCGAGAGUCCCCUGGGUUCGAUACCCGGAAGUGGGUGAAGUCUGGAGAGCAGAGCGGAAGGUUGAAUUCCAGAGCAGGCGAGUCCAGAGGUAGAACGAGGACUAAAUUUAGUGAGUCAGGAGGUUGGGGAAUAACGAUCAGGUCUGUGAAUGGGGCUAGGGACUGGAGUGAGGCCAGAUGACUGUGAGUUUGAGAGUGCAGGCCAAGAGAUUGGAGGUCAGGGGCCCUACGGUUGUGAGUCUGUGAGUCAGGCCAGGGAUUUGAGUGAGGCUCGAUGGCUGUGAGUCUGAGAGUCAGGCCAGGGACUCGAGUGAGGCCCAAUGACUGUCAGUCUGGUCCCGGGACUGAAGAUCUGAGGCCUGAUCAGUGUGGGUCUGUGAGUCCAGGGCAGACGACUGCAGGUUGAGGAGUUCAGGUCAGGGAGGCCCAAUGACUGUGAGUUCAGGUGUCUGGGCCAGGGGCUGGAGACCUGAGGCCCAGUGACUGAGAAUCUGUGAGUCCAGGCCAGGAACUGAAGAUCGGGGGCUGACUUUCAGAGGGUCGGAGAGACCGGCCCAGGAACUGAAGAGCUGGAGGCCUGUGAGUGUGUGGGCGAGAGGGUGGUGAAGGAGGUUGCUUUGCUGCCGUUUUCUUGCUCGUUGUGCUCGGUGCUGUUUUGCUGAAUAUCGUGGACACGACAUAUUGGCGCCGGAAUGCGUGUCAACAUCUGCGGGCUGCCCCCUGCAUGUUAAGUAUGCACAUUGUAAAGUAUAUUUCAAUCUACGUGUGAUAAAUACUGUACGUUUCAAAUAGAAUCCGAGCGUCGGGAGAAUAAAACAGGGAUUGUGAAUGGUGGUCAGUAUGGGCUUGAUGGGCCGAAGGACUUUCUUCCCUGCUGUUUGACUCUAUAAUGCUCAGUCGAGGGAUUGGGGUGG